GUGGGUUAUGGGGAUAUGAAGCCCAUCACUGUUGGGGGCAAGAUAGUGGGUUCCCUGUGUGCCAUAGCAGGGGUCUUGACAAUAGCACUGCCCGUGCCAGUCAUAGUCUCCAAC